UGGGGAAUAUUGCACAAUGGGCGAAAGCCUGAUGCAGCAACGCCGCGUGAGUGAUGAAGGUCUUCGGAUUGUAAAGCUCCGUCUUUUGGGACGAUAAUGACGGUACCAAAGGAGGAAGCCACGGCUAACUACGUGCCAGCAGCCGCGGUAAUACGUAGGUGGCGAGCGUUGUCCGGAUUUACUGGGCGUAAAGGGUGCGUAGGCGGAUGUUUAAGUGAGAUGUGAAAUACCCGGGCUUAACUUGGGUGCUGCAUUUCAAACUGGAUAUCUAGAGUGCAGGAGAGGAGAAUGGAAUUCCUAGUGUAGCGGUGAAAUGCGUAGAGAUUAGGAAGAACACCAGUGGCGAAGGCGAUUCUCUGGACUGUAACUGACGCUGAGGCACGAAAGCGUGGGUAGCAAACAGGAUUAGAUACCCUGGUAGUCCACGCCGUAAACGAUGAGUACUAGGUGUAGGAGGUAUCGACCCCUUCUGUGCCGCAGUAAACACAUUAAAGUACUCCGCCUGG
rnacentral:rRNA from 1 species